GGGCGGAUGGCGAAAUUGGUAGACGCACCACACUCAAAAUGUGGCGGCUUCGGUCGUGCGAGUUCGAGUCUCGCUCUGCCCAUCA
rnacentral:tRNA from 1 species